rnacentral:rRNA from 1 species
GUAAGUCCCAGUUCGGAUUGAAGGCUGAAAUUCGCCUUCAUGAAGCCGGAAUUGCUAGUAAUGGCAGGUCAGCAUACUGCCGUGAAUACGUUCCCGGGCCUUGUACACACCGCCCGUCACACCAUGAGAGUUGGGAAUACCCGAAGCCUGUGAGCUAACUUUAAGAGGCAGCAGUCGAAGGUAGAAUCAAUGAUUGGGGUGAAGUCGUAACAAGGUAAC